ensembl:snRNA U2 U2 spliceosomal RNA
AUCGCUUCUCGGCCUUUUGGCUAAGAUCAAGUGUAGUAUAUGUUCUUAUCAGUUCGGAUUUUACAAACAGAUUUUACGCUUGUGGAGAACGCUGCUGCGCUUGGGCUUUUUAAUAGCUUUUAGUGAGGCCAAGGGUGAUCUUAU